ACGGGAGGCAGCAGUGGGGAAUAUUGCACAAUGGGGGAAACCCUGAUGCAGCGACGCCGCGUGAGUGAAGAAGUAUUUCGGUAUGUAAAGCUCUAUCAGCAGGGAAGAAAAUGACGGUACCUGACUAAGAAGCCCCGGCUAACUACGUGCCAGCAGCCGCGGUAAUACGUAGGGGGCAAGCGUUAUCCGGAUUUACUGGGUGUAAAGGGAGCGUAGACGGUAAUGCAAGUCAGAAGUGAAAGCCCAGGGCUCAACCUUGGGACUGCUUUUGAAACUGUAAUACUAGAGUGCAGGAGAGGUAAGUGGAAUUCCUAGUGUAGCGGUGAAAUGCGUAGAUAUUAGGAGGAACACCAGUGGCGAAGGCGGCUUACUGGACUGUAACUGACGUUGAGGCUCGAAAGCGUGGGGAGCAAACAGUAUUAGAUACCCUGGUA
rnacentral:rRNA from 1 species